rnacentral:rRNA from 1 species
GACAGAGGUGCCGAGCGUUAGGCGGAAUCACUGGGCUUAAAGCGCGUGUAGGCGGUCCGAUAAGUUCGCUGUGAAAGUCGGGGGCUUAACCCUCGGAUGCCGGUGAAUACUGUCGGGCUUGAGUACGGAAGAGGCGAGUGGAAUUCCUGGUGUAGCGGUGAAAUGCGCAGAUAUCAGGAGGAACACCAAUUGCGAAGGCAGCUCGCUGGGACGUUACUGACGCUGAGACGCGAAAGCGUGGGGAGCAAACAGG